UCUCCUUCCUCCUCUCCCUCAGAUGAAGGUAGUAUCCAGAUCCACAGUGCCAACUAUGGCCGCCGUGACCAGCUAGUGUGUUCCUUUAAUCGGCCCGCUAACCAACUAGCCAACACCAACUGCCUGAGCCAAUCCAUAACCACCAGUAAGGUAGCAAAGAGGUGUAAUGGGAAGAGCCAGUGUGACGUCCCGGCGUCCAACUCUCUGUAUGGAGAUCCCUGUGUAGGAACCUACAAGUACCUGGAUGUGGCUUACACCUGUGGCUAAAUGAGAUCUUCUCUGAGGAACAUAGACCAGAGAGACCACAUGGAUAUCUUCCUCUUCAUUGGGCGGAUUUGUAUUUCUUUCCUGUCUUCUCUCCUCUGAAGUCUCAAUUGAGUGUAAAAUCGAUGUAAAUUC